GAAAGUAAACGUUGAACGAGAAUUGAAAAUUGCAACAAUAAUCUACUAAACAAAAUGCAUCUUCAUCACGGUAAUGGUAUGGCAAAUGGUUGCAAGUGGCAAAAAGUAAAAUGCAAUGAGUAACCCGUACGCAUCUCAUCUCUCAAAGCCAAAAUCAGAAAAACAAUAUCACUAAAUAACCUAGUUGAUUCAGCCGUGACAAUUUUG
rnacentral:lncRNA from 1 species